ensembl:lncRNA
AGAACAAUUCCAACCCAGUCAAGCAUUUAAAGAUUUGGGUUGAUUUGUGAUGUUCCAAGAAUAUUCUGGAAGUGCAGUUAAUCACUGCCACCUCUUGUGGUGAGCCUGCACCUUAGAAAAGGAAAAUUCCAGAAUCAGAUGCAGGGAUCAGCAGUAGGUAGGGCACCAAUCAGGGAGAGGAAGGAUGGGCUAUCCCAGCUUGUGGUCAGGCAGAGAAAUUCAAUGAAGCUGUGCUUUCAGCCCCAUGCUCCCAGGCACCACGAUUUUCCUCUACCUUCAGUAUAAGCAAUCAGCUAACUUCACUGUUGAGUUCCCCCUCUCUCACUGGACCCAGCUGAAAACGCCAUAUCAACUUGAUGUAGUUCUGAGAACAAAGCUAUAUUCUUAAGUUAUGACCCAAUUAGACUUAAUGGAAGGGCUGGCAUUGAAAUAAAGAUGUUGAGUUCUUCACUAGAAUUUGCUCCUGUGCUUCACUCCGUGUAAGCCCGUGGUUUGGCACAUACACCUGCUUCCUUUCUAUGGAUAGCUGCUGUUUUCCCUGGUAAGGCUUUGACUUUGUGGAUUUCUGCCUCUGCAAGAAUCUGCAUUUCCAUAGGCUCUUGCUUUGCAUGAUAAGUCUUGCACCCAGUGGAAAUACUAAUAAUGAUCUGCAGUAGGAAGACCCCCAGGUUUGGAAGUGGUUGCUGUCGUUUAAUAACAUCAAUUUAAUGGCAGAAUAUACUGCUGUAAUUUUGGUUUGCCUUCUUAGCAUCUGUAGUUUAUUUUUGGAGCAGCCCCCUCACCUAAGGGGAUGGUAGACAAAUAAGUCAGCAUCAAGUUACGCUGCAUCGUUUCCAUUUCAAAUCAAGUUUCAUUGUUCAGCUUUGCCUGGCACAUGCAAGUAACUACAGCAGUGAAAUUUAAUAAAGCAUCAUUCAUCAUGUGAUAGACAAGAAGUAGGCACAUCUCAGCCAGACGGAACUGGAGAUCAGGAAUCACUGGAGCCAUUGAUGCAGUGCUGGUUGGCAGAGGAGCCCUGUGCUCUCAGAUUUGUCUGGGCAGGCCACAGAUGUUAGAAUACAGUAGCACAGUGGGAACAUUAGUAUGUAAGGGAAGAGACUGUAAACUUCAGGCAGGAGUUGUCUUCUCUCAUGUGCUACUGCAGUGCUUAAGGUAGUGAGUACUUUUGUCACUUAAAACUUCUGUACACUAACAUAGAAGAAUCUUAAUUUGAGCUGAUUCUGCCACUACUUUCCUCUGCAGUUUGGGGUAAGUCUUCAAUUCAUCACUUUAUUUACUAACAGUGCUGAGAUAAUAUGACUAGAGAUCACUUGUCCAGAGUGUUUUGAUAUUGAGAAAAGUCAGUAUGAUGAUAACAUUCAAUUUCCAUCUCUGUUAUAACAGAUGUGGAUAAUAUUAACUGAAGAUUUUUUUUUUUUCACGUAUCACUCAAUAGUUUAUCUGCAAAUAAUUGUUGAAGUUAUUUCUUCUCUGCAUACCUACACUGCUCUGUUAUUGUCACUACCAGCUAAUAUUCGCUGCAUGCUUGGAAAACAAAAUCUAUUGCAUGGAGGCUGAAGGUUGCCAGUGUAACUCAGAUUGGCCUGAUUCUUUUCUGAGGCUUAUAUUUAUGGGCUGGUCUGUGGUCGUCUAUUGUUGUUGAUGGGGGUGAGUCUGCUGUUACCUAUGGAGUUCUUAUUGAUGCCAGGUUUAUGAAAUUCAGAUGAGGACCAGUGUCAAUUUCAGAGUCAUUUCUGUGGUUCCAAGUGAAAAUAGGCACCCUAUGGGAUUACUAAACACACAGAUUAUCAGAUCCUGGUGAUGUUUCAGGAAAGUUUGGUUAUCUCUGUGCUUAGAGCUUAAGCUUUAGUCACAAUAGCAUUCCUUUUGUAGGAGAAGUAGUAGGUGUAAAACUAUGGGGGCAUGUAGAUGUAUCAAAAAGUUUUAGCUCAAGUAUAACAAUAGCAACAAAAACAAAAAAGAAGAGUUGAAUUAGCUACUAUUAAACAUUUCUCAAGAUUUGUUACCUGCGUUUCAGGUCGGGAGUAGAAGGGUUACCCCAUGGUUUUUCAGUAUCCAGAAAUGGACCAUGAGGAUACAGAGUGUUUGCAUGUCAUGCUUCUGUGAAAUAGCCAGUAAGAAGGAUGUAGUCAAAGAAGAUGCCUUUUAGUAAUCUGUUUUGGGGGUGACCUUCAUCAGGUCUGAGCUGUUUGGAAGUUGCAGACUCAUCUGCAGGAUUUGAUUCUUGUCUCAGUCAUUUCCCAGCCUCCAGACUGGCUUUUUUGGCAGGUUGUUCUCUUGCCAUCCUUUCACAAGAGGCCAUCUGAGCGUCUUCCAAGGAUGUGCCAAGUGAUGAAUGAGCUCGAUUUAAGGCUCUCCCUGAAAGCCACUGCAUACGUUUCAGCAAACUGCAGAACGUGUCAACACAGUCACUUCAACGCUUUCAGCUAGCUGGGGCCCAUCAGCGCUCUGCUGCUUCUGUGGAUUGCCUGAUCAGCAAUGCUAUGACCAUUAAUAUUUAUAAACCUUAAAUAAUACAGGACUUCAGGGUACCUGAGAGACCAUAUGUUGGCCUCCAAUUCCCAGCAAAGCACCUGCGAUCCUUGUGACCACAAGGCUGGCUGAUCUUCUGUCCAGGUCCCAGAAGGGGAAGGAUUGGAGCUUUUCCCCCAAGGGCGUCUAUCGUAGGCCUCCCCCUCCUUCAUUAGUUACCAGAGCACAUCGCCAUCAUCCUUCAAGGCCAAGCUGCAGGCUUCUUUCUUUCCUUUUAGUCUGGAGUUUUAAUGCAUUGUGUUGUGCAUUUAUUAUGGAGCUUCACUUGGUUGUGACCUUGGGUGAUUCUUUUUCUUCCUUUUUCCCCCCCACCUAUUGGUAAAAAUGCAUUGAGAUGGGUAUUGCUCACAGGGAGAUCUCUGGGAUUUUUUAAGAAAUUAUUAAUUUAUUGCUUUUGAUGUUGUUUUGGUCUGAGUCUUGCUAAGGUGCUUGCUAACCAUUUGGACACAGAUGCCUCUAAAUUACCAUUUAAUGUGCAUGUGCAAAGAUGCAUAUCAAUGAAUAAUGCAUAGUAAUACAUAGCUUGGCGAUUGGGCUUGGUUCAGAGCAAUAUUGCACAUGGAUUAGCCGUAAGGGCCUGAAUCAGUGGUGUUAAUAACGUGUAUCAGGUGGAGACCACCAAGUGGACACCAUUGUGUGCUCCACCGCUUACCUUUGCAAUAAAAACGCCUCCCAAGUAACCC